rnacentral:rRNA from 1 species
UACAGAGGUCUCAAGCGUUGUUCGGAUUCAUUGGGCGUAAAGGGUGUGUAGGUGGCGCCGUAAGUCGGGUGUGAAAUUUUAGAGCUUAACUCUGAAACUGCAUUCGAUACUGCGGUGCUUGAGGACUGGAGAGGAGACUGGAAUUUACGGUGUAGCAGUGAAAUGCGUAGAUAUCGUAAGGAAGACCAGUGGCGAAGGCGAGUUUCUGGACAGUUACUGACGCUGAGGCACGAAGGCCAGGGGAGCAAACGGG